GGAUUGGGAGGGUUCUACGGAACCCGUUUGGUGAAUCUAGUGCCGAGAAAAGCCUUCUAUGUGUUGAAUUUCUAGUACCCGUACCCCAAACCGACACAGGUGGGUGGGUAGAGCAUACCUAGGGGCGCGUGAUAACUCUCUCUAAGGAACUCGGCAAAAUGGCCCUGUAACUUCGGGAUAAGGGGUGCCUGCGUGAGCAGGCCGCAGUGAAAUGGCUCUGGCGACUGUUUACCAAAAACACAGGUCUCUGCUAAGUCGUAAGACGAUGUAUAGGGGCUGACUCCUGCCCAGUGCCGGAAGGUUAAGGAAGUUGGUUAGCGCAAGCGAAGCUGGCGACCGAAGCCCCGGUGAACGGCGGCCGUAACAAUAACGGUCCUAAGGUAGCGAAAUUCCUUGUCGGGUAAGUUCCGACCCGCACGAAAGGAGUAACGAUCAGAGCGCUGUCUCGGAGAGAGACACGGCGAAAUAGGAUUGUCCGUGAAGAUACGGACUACCUGCACCCGGACAGAAAGACCCUAUGAAGCUUUACUGUAACUUGGAAUUGUGUUCGGACUUUGUCUGCGCAGAAUAGGUGGGAGGCUAUGAAACGUUCCUCGCGGGGAACUGGAGCCAUCGUUGAGAUACCACUCUGGCAGAGUCUGGAUUCUAACCUACGGGGACAGUUCCAGGUGGGCAGUUUGACUGGGGCGGUCGCCUCCUAAAAUGUAACGGAGGCGCGCAAAGGUUCCCUCAGGCUGGUUGGAAAUCAGCCAUAGAGUGUAAAAGCAUAAGGGAGCUUGACUGUGAGACCUACAAGUCGAGCAGGGACGAAAGUCGGCUUUAGUGAUCCGACGGCACUGAGUGGAAGGGCCGUCGCUCAACGGAUAAAAGUUACUCUAAGGAUAACAGGCUGAUCUCCCCCAAGAGUUCACAUCGACGGGGAGGUUUGGCACCUCGAUGUCGGCUCGUCGCAACCUGGGGCGGUAGUACGUCCCAAGGGUUGGGCUGUUCGCCCAUUAAAGCGGCACGUGAGCUGGGUUCAGAACGUCGUGAGACAGUUCGGUCCAUAUCCGGUGUAGGCGUAGGAGCAUUGAAAGGAUCUCUCCUUAGUACGAGAGGACCGGGAGGGACGUACCUCUGGUGUACCUGUUAUCGUGCCAACGGUAAACGCAGGGUAGCCAUGUACGGAGUGGAUAACCGCUGAAGGCAUCUAAGUGGGAAGCCCACCUUAAGAUGAGUGCUCCCUUGAGGCCACGGGAAGACGACCCGUUUGAUAGGCGCUAGGUGGAAGUGCAGUAAUGCAUGCAGCCGAGGCGUACUAAUAGGCCGAUGGCUUGUCC
rnacentral:rRNA from 1 species